CCUACGGGUGGCAGCAGUGAGGAAUAUUGGUCAAUGGACGAGAGUCUGAACCAGCCAAGUAGCGUGAAGGAUGACUGCCCUAUGGGUUGUAAACUUCUUUUAUAUGGGAAUAAAAUGUUCCACGUGUGGGAUUUUGUAUGUACCAUAUGAAUAAGCAUCGGCUAACUCCGUGCCAGCAGCCGCGGUAAUACGGAGGAUGCGAGCGUUAUCCGGAUUUAUUGGGUUUAAAGGGUGCGUAGGUGGGUUGUUAAGUCAGUUGUGAAAGUUUGCGGCUCAACCGUAAAAUUGCAGUUGAAACUGGCGGUCUUGAGUACGAGAGAGGUAGGCGGAAUGCGUGGUGUAGCGGUGAAAUGCUUAGAUAUCACGAAGAACUCCGAUUGCGAAGGCAGUUCACUGGACUGCAACUGACACUGAGGCACGAAAGUGUGGGUAUCGAACAGGAUUAGAUACCCUAGUAGUC
rnacentral:rRNA from 1 species